CCAAUAGCGUAUAUUAAAGUUGUUGCAGUUAAAAAGCUCGUAGUUGAAUUUCGAGAUCGGUUUAUUGGUCGUGCUAUAUUGUACGUACUGGUAUUACCGGUUUCUCCUUUCUGACGAACCUUAAUGCCAUUAAUUUGGUGUUUUGGGAAAUCAGGACUGUUACUUUGAAAAAAUUAGAGUGUUUAAAGCAGGCUCACGCUUGAAUACAUUAGCAUGGAAUAACGGAAUAGGACGUUUGAUUCUAUUUUGUUGGUUUCUAGGAUCGACGUAAUGAUUAAUAGGGAUAGUUGGGGGCAUUAGUAUUCAAUUGUCAGAGGUGAAAUUCUUGGAUUUAUUGAAGACUAACUACUGCGAAAGCAUUUGCCAAGGAUGUUUUCAUUAAUCAAGAACGAAAGUUAGGGGAUCGAAGACGAUCAGAUACCGUCGUAGUCUUAACCAUAAACUAUGCCGACUAGGGAUCGGAUGAUGUUAAUUUUUUAAUGACUCAUUCGGCGCCUUACG
rnacentral:rRNA from 1 species